rnacentral:rRNA from 1 species
GACGAACGCUGGCGGCGUGCCUAAUACAUGCAAGUGAAGUUCAGUGGCGGACGGGUGAGUAACACGUGGGUAACUACCCAUCAGAGGGGGAUAACUACUGGAAACGGUAGCUAAUACCGCAUACUAUCGGAUAACCCAUAUGGGAUUAGCUAGUGGGGGAGGUAAUGGCUCAACUAGGCGACGAUCCCUAGCUGGUCUGAGAGGAGGAUCCGCCACACUGGGACUGAGACACGGCCCAGACUCCUACGGAGGCAGCAGUGGGGAAUAUUGCACACUGGGCGCAAGCCUGAUGCAGCCAUGCCGCGUGUAUGAAGAAGGCCCUAGGGUUGUAAAGUACUUUCAGUCGGGAGGCGUUACCGACAGAAGAAGCACCGGCUAACUCCGUGCCAGCAGCCGCGGUAAUAC